AUUAUUAUUUUAAUAUUUAACAAAUAAUUGCUUUUUAGUUUUUAAUAAUUUUUUAAUAGAAAGUAGGUCUCAAAUCAAGUUACGUCAGCAUUUAACAGAAAAGUUAACAGAAAAAUUGACGGAGAUAUGACGUUGUCAUAAAUUCGUAAGAUAUUCUCAAUUUAAAAAAAAUAAGAUAUAAAACUGUUGUGACCCCAAUAAUUUUGAUGUAAUUUUUUAUCCUUUAUCCAAAAUCUUAACCGGAGAAACACUUGGCUACCUUCUUCACUAUGUUAACUCUGCCGUCCAACAACCACCACCGGCGGGCCAGGAGCUUGGAGGAGAUGCUACCUCUGCCGCCCCCGUCCAGCUCGUCGAGAUCACCCAAGACGGCUUUAAUUGCAGGUGACCUCUGAGCUUUCUCAGCCAAGGAAUCGUCAGUGACUGGGUUUAGGGUUGUGGGGUUAUUGAUUUUCUGCCAUGUUCGUCUCGGACGCCUGGACACGUUGUUUGAAAGCUGAUCAGGCUGGUGAAGCAGUAUGGAGUGGGAAAAUGGGCACAGAUAGUUGAGAAGUUGGUGGGUAGGGCUGGCAAGCAGUGCAGAGAAAGAUGGCACAAUCAUUUGCAUCCUCAUAUCAAGGCAAUUUGUUCUUACAUAUCUUUGGGAUGUUAUAAAUUUUGAUGCAUGAGUAAACUAACAACUAAAAAUUGCUGCUUGGAUACAUUUUUAGAUUUGUACAUUUUAUUCUUUCUCAAUUCUGCGAGAGAGAAUAAAAUUUUACUCUCUAGUCCUUUUAUUUUGGUUUACUGUUGAAUUUUAUCACUGUCAACAAAAAACCUUUCCAUGCUCGAGAGUCCCGCAGGAAAGUAGUCAAUCUUAUGCUCAUGUUUCUGGUUUGAGUUCUCUGAUUUUUCUGGUUCUCCGUUUUGGAAAAUUGAAGCAUUUGAGUUUGAUUGAGAAACUCAUUUGUUAUAUUAUACACUUGCAUUUUAAACAUCUGUAAAUUAUUAAUCUUUUUUGGGUUUUUAUGUUUUUUAGGUUUGGGUUGUUAUGGAAUGGAUGAAUCAAAAUUCUGCUGUUAUAAUUUGUACUUGCUUUAUACACAUUGUGCAAUGUAUGGUGAAUAAUUGAUCUUCCAAUUUAUGCUGGACUUUUUGAUCCGUUCAAUUAUAUAUCCCUUACAGAAAUUUGGUCUAAUACACAUAGACAUAAUGAUGGAGGUAAACAAAAUGAUUAUAAUGGUUUUGUUCAUCCAUUCAAACUGAAGUAUAGUUAUCUAAUUAUUACAGUUUAAUAGCAUUAUCUUAUUGCUUAGUUUGUGUUGUCCAUUCUCAUAUUUGCUUAGUUUGUGUUGUCCAUUCUCUUAUUUGCUUAGUUUGGAUUACCUGGCAGAAAGAUGGGAUUCAUUUCCUUGGAGAACCUGCUGUUAUUUGCGAAAAAAUUUUCGAACAUCUUUCCAGUAGCUAUUGAAAAAGCAGGGUGGAAAGCAAGCUGCUUGGGAAUAUCCUUUCGUUGUUGCUGGUGUCAAUAUCAUGUUUAUGAUCAUGCAAAUACUUGACCUUGAAGCCAUGAUUGAAUUCUUGGGUUUUUAGCCGUCCCCAAUUUUAGUCUACCCAGAAAAGAUUAACAAGUGGAGUUUUCGCAGCAUGCAGUGGAUCAGCAUCACCACUGUUCUUCUUGCUCGAAUCCGAAAAAAAAUUUUAAACCCAAAAAAGGUUGGGUUUCCUGGCUGCUUUAUGAGUUAUUGAAGAAAUUGGAUUCAGAACUGAAGUAUGAGGUCUGCCAUUGGGCUGUGUAUUAUGUAAGUAUAAUCAUUUUUCCUACCAUUGUUUAAGACUAUAGUUCCUUUUGCAUAGUGUGGUUGGAUCAGGUUGUAUAUAUAGUGACCAUCUCUGCUUAUAAUGAGCUUCCAUUUGUUGUGCUGCAAAUGACCAUUAGCAUACCACAACCACAGAAUUUAUGCUUAGCGUGCUGACGCAAUUGAUAUACAGAUCUUUGUACAAAAUUCUCUCAUAUUGAUGGUUCAUUGAAUAGUCAAAAGUAUUACAUAAUAAACAAUCAAUAUAUAUGAGGACACCAUCUUAUCAUGCUUCUUGAAAAAUUUAGAGUGUGAUUUGAAAACUUGGAAGAAAUUUCGGUUUUGAGCAAAGCCCAUCUACUAAAAUGUCUAGAUUGAAGGAAAAAUAUGGCAAAUACUACACGUGUUGUUGAUGGUGGACGUGUGUAGGAGGAUGGAAGCCCAAGUCUUCUCUCGAAGGUUCCAGUACGCUUUUCCAUUUGUGUACAGAUCUCUUGAGCUCUCAACAUCGUCUUGCUCAGACUCUCUCGUAGCUCCUCAUUUUCUCCCUGUGCAAAUCUCAAAGACGCCUACCACAAUUGAUUCACCAGGUGGUACUCGGAGAAGUUUGUGAAGGGCCAAUGGGACAAGGAUUGCAAAAAUACAAUGCUUACCUCUCAAGAUUGUACUAAUUUCCCUUUGAAUGGAAAUUUGGGGUUUCUUCAGGGUUUUCGCUCGCCAGACAAUGAUAGGCGAAUCACCGCAAGAAGCAGCAAUUAUGCUGCAAACUGAAUCCAGGAUGACUGACCUGGACUCUUCAUGGUGGUCGCACCUCUCCUCCUCUCUGCUCCUCCUCCAAAACCCCUCUUUCAGGACCUAGGAAACAAGUAGCAAUGCAGAGGCACUGUUGGAGAGAUUGUGGACCUCUGUUUAAUAUUAAUCACUAACAAUAAAAAUGAAAAAUAUAAUUUGACCCAAAAAAUUGUAAAAUAUAAUACUAAAUUCGUAUAUACAUACUAAAUU